ensembl:lncRNA
AUGAAGAAAGAAGGGUGUCUAGAUAAACCAUACCAUACCAUACGCUGUAAACAUUUCUGUUGGCCUAACUGCAUUCGUCCGUGCCUUGCUCUGCCUCUCUGCACCAGUUCGUAUCUGGAUGCCAUCACUGGAGCAGUGAGCUACAGGAACCAUGAGCCUCCUUCCAUCUGUUUGGCACCUCCUUCCUCAGUGCAGUUGUUCUCGCGCUCCACAAACAUGAAUCCAAGGUUAUGUUCCUCCUUGCGCUGCGUGACUACGCUCCUGGGUUCACUGCCACUCUUCCUGCCACUUGGACAAUGUGGCAGCACCGCAUGAGUUAAAAGCCAUACAGAUUGCAAGGCAGACGUAUUUAUUACAAGAGCAGAUGCAGAAAGAGAAAAAGGAAUAGCAAAUUUACUUUGGCUCAUAGUUUGUUCAGCAGUCUAGGCUUUUAGCUCCUUUCACAUUCUAUGAGAUGAUUUACCAAAAUUAAACAAUUCAAACUGCUGAGACUAUAAGACACUUAUAAUCAAAUUUUCAUCAAUCUAAAAUUCUUGGAUUCAGGUCUUUAAAUCUUUUAAUUAUUAAAUUAAUAAUGUAGUUUUAUUUUAUUCUUUAAAUCUUUCAGGCCUUUUUCUUUUAAGUCUGUUCCCUUUGGGUGCACAUGAUGCUGAUGUCUAUGUUAUAAGAGGCCUUAAAGCAAAGACUGUGUUCCAAUUUGCUCUGCACUGAGCAAGGCAAUGCUCGUAUAUACGGUGUUCCUCUUUCACUUCUGCAACUGAACGUAUUUCAGUACCCUUCUAUGCGAUGCUGCUCAUCCUUCUGAAAGGAUGACGGCCUUUUCUUCAUCUAUUGGAAACACACUUCAAGGCAACAUCGCUACAGAGGUGCACAUAGAACUGCAAACUUGAAUCCUGUUACUAGUCGCCGCUCACUAAUCUUCUCUCCUUCCCCUUCCAGCGCCUGCACAGGAUUUCUAUAGAAAGGAGCCAGAAAGAGGGAGGCAUCUUGUUUUGUUACACAGCAAUGGUUCCCUGGGAAAAUCCAUUCCUCAGGGAAGCCCAGACUGGAAAAGCAGAUGGGAAUGACAUUCCAAAAUUGAGAAAAAAAUUAAACCUAUUAUCACUAGCACUGAUAGGAGGAAUGACAAACAUUUGCAAUUUGUCUCUGGCAACCGAGGCACCAUAAUGAUGAGGAGCAUGAGCUUUGCAAGCUGCUGGCUGCAUGAAAAACGUUUGGAAAAAGAGAGGAUAAGGAAGGAGAAGUCCAUGGAUCCUGUGAAUCUCUUUCAGCAGNNNNNNNNNNNNNNNNNNNNNNNNNNNNNNNNNNNCAGCAGGAGACCAGAAGGCAAAAAAAAAAGAGCUGAGAGAAUACAUGUGACAACUUGUGUAGCCUUCAGGCAAAUGUCUAGACUCAGAGAAGGAGUUUAGGAUAAGGAAAACAACAUACAGGAAAAUUUGCUGGAAAUUGUGCAGAAGGAAACAGACCUCUGAAGAAUGUUAGGAUGCUAUAUGCAUACCACUACUUCAAGAGCACCCUGGGGUUAACAAGAGCAGUGACAGCUUCCUGUAGGUUUCCAGAGGUUACUGUACCCUUUCCAGAAAACCGGAGUGAUUUCUGCUUUCAUUUGCAAAGACAGAUGCACUUAGCAUAUACGGUGUGUUGUGCCAGAAUCAGUAAAGAUUAUCCUGAAAAAAUUGACUGAGGCAUUCCACUAAAGUUCUCAUUUUCCCCUAAUAACAUCAAUUCGUAACAAAAACAUUAACAAAGACAAAUCUCUCUCCCUUUUCCACUGCUGUAUGCUUACCAUGAAGAAAGAGCAGGACAAAUCCCUGAUCCUGUUUCCCGGAGCAGUUUGGACACCUCCUCCCUCUCUCAUAGAUUUUGAACCAGACUUGGUUAACAUCUGUCACUUGCAGCAAAUAUUGAUCAGCUUGUUUGUAAGGCUCCUCCAGCUGCCCUUCAUUUUUGCCACAAAGCCCUUCAUUAUUAUUCUGUAGGUAGUCAGAACAGUCAUACCAUUCCUUCUCCAGUGCCUUGGCCCAGUAAAAGGCCUGAGAAGUAGAAAGAUGUCUGGGUCUCCCAGAGUGACAAAAGGAAGGACAUCAUUAACUUUCAUAGCCGUCCAGGGAGCAAUUGAUAUUUUGUUGCAGUAAAUAAGGCUGAAUUUCUAAAAAUCCUUUCAUCAACUAUUCCAAAACUUUUUUCAUUAAUAUUGGAAAACUUUCCAUAGUAAUCAAUGAGGCUUUGCAGAAUAUCCUUUUUCUGUUUAUGAAAACUGACUUUUGGUAUGCAAUAUAGGUACCCAAGUCCAACCAGUGGUUCCAACGUUAACUCAGGAACAUGAACUUUGCAAAUCUUGAAGUCAUUUUCUUGGUACCAGCACAAUGAAACACACACACAGAGUAUUUAUUUCCAGCAUACACUGACAUACCAGCACCAAUCCAGUUAGCAGCUAGCCAGCUGGAUUGCUGGCAACCACCAAGGCACCAAUGGUCACCCCAACACAGAGAUGUGCUGCUGUAUCAAUUUUAUCAAUGCUGACAAUCUAAACUGAGCUAGGCCUUUGGCAGCCAUUACCAUCCUGAAGUCCUAGCAGAAUUACUCUUCAUCCCAAGCAUGGUUUCCUCCUUCUCUGCCAGUAUCAGUGCGCCACCACCACAUCUCUUUCCAAUCCCUUCCCAAGACUUUCCACUGCGUUACCAACCUGUUUGUAUUAAGGGUGGCUGGAACUGCGGAGCUCUGCCAUGUUUUCUCCAUAUAGCCAUUUGAAGUGGUGUUGACUAACAACAGGAGGAAUCAUGCAAGUAGAUUGGUUUCACCCCAAAUUGCAGAAUUCUGGUAGGUUCCUAUAUCUUCUUCCACAAGACACCAACUGUAGGACAUCUCACCAGAGAGUACCUUCCCAGCACAUACUGAGAGUUAAUACAGGACAGCGUGUAUGUAAAGAAUCACAGGGAAAUUGUAACUGAGUCAAAAUAAAUAAAUCAUACAGGUAUACA